AUAAUCCUAAUUUGUGAAUACAAACAGGAUGGAAUUUUACCUAAUCUACCCUUGCCAUUUUUUACUCCUAAUACUUCUGAAGGACUUCAGCGUAAUUACACAUGCUUGAUGGAUCAUCCAUUACAAAACGGGUCUUCACCCGACUCAAAUUACAACAGGUUCAUGCAUAUAUCACCCGAGGAUCCGAGCUUUUACGGGCGAUCCGCCAGUUUUCUUGAAAUCGUUUGUCGGUUAUGGCAGCCCGUAAUUUCAACAACCAUUUCCUACUUCGAUUUCAAAUUUCGUCAAACCUAGCUUUCUUCUCAUUCGUAAUCAUAGUCAUAUCAGUAACUACAAUCCACCAGUUUGCAUCUCCUCUGUGAUGUUUCAGUGUGUGACAGUGGUGGUGAUUUUUCGUCGGAGGGUAAGCCACUUUUAUGGAUGCAUCUGAUUCGCGCCACCAGGCUCAUUUUCUCCGGACUCUUCAUCUCCUCAUUUUAUUCCCCUCUCAUCCCUUGCUUCAACCCAUCAAUCCAAACUACAAUCGACUCGCCCACGAUUUUUGUUGAUUUCAUGUUCCAGAGAUGUGAGAAAGGCAUCUGAACGGGAAAAAAAAAUAGUGGUUUGUCUUUGUCUUUUAUUUCUUCUGGAUUAAAUAUAUUCUGAUUUUGUUAUAGUUGGUGAUUUAUGAUUUUUGAUUUAAAAUUACUGUAAACCAAAGUUUCGAAUAAACUACACUAAAGUUCCGAGAUGUAUUUACAACAAUCUUGGUCUUGAUUUCUAGAAAGUCUUGGACGUGAGUGUAAUGUUGCUAAUGCUGCCGGAAAAGUUUCAGUUCCUAUUCGAGGGCAAAGAUAUGUAUUAUCUAGAAUAUGAAAAAAAUAAAGAUAUUUUUUUGUUACAACUCCACUUCAGCAAAGAGCAACAGCUAUAGGAGCAAACAAAAAUCAACCAGGAUUGUGGCAUAUCAAGGUUGGUAAUUUAAUCUUUUAUGUCAUGGAACCACAUUGCUCACACUAUUAUUCUGUUACUGGUAUAUUUGAUUUGACUCAAACUUUUAAUGUUUAGUACUAAUUAGUUUUGCCAAGAAACUAAUAGAAGCAAAUAAGAUCUGAACAUACUCCUGGCUCUGGGCAUUUGGCAUUAGCUUCAGGACAUACAAUGAGACAUUUAAGGUUACAAAGAGUCUCGAGGAGACCCUAUUAUGCUCUCUCAGGUUUGAGUUCAAAACUCAUUAAUUCUUCAUUAAUUGUUAUCGUUAUUGUCGAAAUGUCUUCAUGUUUUUUUCUAAAGUUAUAUAACUUAUUUCUCACUUUGAAAGCAAAAUCAUUAGUGACCAAGUUGUGUAAGUGCUGCAGAUUAAUACAUGUAAUAGUUUCUACUGAGGUGAACUCUUCCCAAAAGACUCUAUAAACCUACAAUUUGGACAGAAGUUGGAGUUAAUGGUGUUCCCCAACUUUGAAGGCCCAAUAUAUAAGAGUCCAGUUCAGGAUUUGGCAUUUGUUGUUACACUAUUCAUACAGAAGGGAGGAUCAUUUGUUAAUCAAUAUAAUCCAUGCAAAAAAAAUUUAGGAGGUAAGCUGAUCGAGGAGGUGAGCAUUGCACAGAGUUCUAAACUAAGCAACAACAUAUCAAGUGAUGAGAUCAAAUAAGGUGGUCACAAAAAUUCAUUUGGUAUAUGAUAUCUUCAAUACAUCUCACUCCUUUUUAUCUACAAGUUAUAGCUGCUAUAAUUCUCUGUGAUUGUUUAAACCUGAUACAAGACGCAAUUAAUCACAACUCUCUGUCAUGUAUGUCCUUAUAGUGCAGGAGAAAGAAAAGAAUGCUUUGUUUCCACUUUAUACAUUUCUCAUCGUUAUAAGGUCCAGCAGUAAAAUUCGGCUUUAAACGAUGUGUUUGUGUAUAAGAUUCACAUUUUGCUCUACACUAUUUCAUUUUUUAAAUUCUAAUCUUAAUAAUAAAUAAGCUAUCAACAUCUUUAUUCUGACUUU